GUGGGCCCUCGAAAUCCUGUGGCGGGAGUAUUCAGUCGGAGCGUUCUCGCGGCGCGCGUCGGAAGGACGCCGCAACCGGUCGGGGGGACGGCCUUAAGGGCGAGAGCCGGCAGGUGGCCAGCGGCGCGCCUCGUGCGAGUCGCCGGUUGUUAGCCUUCUCGUCACACGGCACGUCUACCGACCGUGGCAAUAGAGAGGCCUCGUUGGGCUUCGUCGUCUCCUUUCCCCCCAUGACCGGGGGGGUGGCGGGUGAAGAAGCGCGGCAGGAGUUCGGUUCCAGCGGUGCGGGCGCACGGACAGACUCCGUGGCCAUGCGCCGUUCCGUCUCUGUUGGCUCGCGCAAGCCCCGCGGGAGUGAACGACGGUUGGCGGCGAGUAGAUCGGUCACCCACCCCACCCGUCUUGAAACACGGACCAAGGAGUUGAACAUGUGUGCGAGUCAAUGGGUCUCGAAUAAGCCCAGAGGCGCAAUGAAAGCGAAGGCUCGGAGGACUCCGGGCCGUGUCGGGAUCCCCGCUCCUUUGCGUGUGCGGGGCGCACCGACGACCCGCCCCGAUCCGCUUCUCGCGGAUGAGGCGGAGUCCGAGCGCACACGUUCUGACCCGAAAGUUGGUGAUCUAUGCCCGGACAGGACGAAGCCAGGGGAAACUCUGGUGGAGGUCCGUAGCGAUUCUGACGUGCAAAUCGAUCGUCAGAUCUGGGUCUAGCGGCGUAAGA
rnacentral:rRNA from 1 species